AGGGGCAUGGUUUCAUGUGCUGCCUGCAUCCUGUAGAUGGGGAUUCACUUGUUUGCACAGACUGGUUUCUGGCAUGCCAUGGACUGGUGUCAGUCCAUGGACUGGGGAUUGGGGAUCCUGCUUUAUAGAUUUUAAAAUAAAUA